rnacentral:rRNA from 1 species
GACGAACGCUGGCGGCGUGCUUAACACAUGCAAGUCGAACGGAAAGGCCCUGCUUGCAGGGUACUCGCGUGGCGAACGGGUGAGUAACACGUGGGUGAUCUGCCCUGCACUUCGGGAUAAGCAUGGGAAAGUGGGUCUAAUAACGGCUAGGUGCCAUAUUUAGUGGGAUGGUUGGAAAGUUUUUUCGGUGUUGGAUGAGCGCGCGGCCUAUCAGCUUGUUGGUGAGGUAAUGGCCUACCAAGGCGGCGACGGGUAGCCGGCCUGAGAGGGUGGACGGCCACAUUGGGACUGAGAGACGGCCCAGACUCCUACGGGAGGCAGCAGUGGGGAAUAUUGCACAAUGGGCGCAAGCCUGAUGCAGCGGCGCCGCGUGGGUGAUGACGGCCUUCGGGUUGUAAACUCCUUUCGCUAGGGACGAAGCUGUUGUGACGGUACCUAGAUAAGAAGCACCGGCUAACUACGUG